UUUAUUGGAGAGUUUGAUCCUGGCUCAGGAUGAACGCUGGCGGCGUGCCUAAUACAUGCAAGUCGAGCGAAUGGAUUGAGAGCUUGCUCUCGAGAAGUUAGCGGCGGACGGGUGAGUAACACGUGGGUAACCUGCCCAUAAGACUGGGAUAACUCCGGGAAACCGGGGCUAAUACCGGAUAACAUUUUGAACCGCAUGGUUCGAAAUUGAAAGGCGGCUUCGGCUGUCACUUAUGGAUGGACCCGCGUCGCAUUAGCUAGUUGGUGAGGUAACGGCUCACCAAGGCAACGAUGCGUAGCCGACCUGAGAGGGUGAUCGGCCACACUGGG
rnacentral:rRNA from 1 species